rnacentral:rRNA from 1 species
UACGGAGGGUGCAAGCGUUAUUCGGAAUUACUGGGCGUAAAGCGCGUGCAGGCGGCUCCGGAAGUCUGAUGUGAAAGCCCGGGGCUCAACUCCGGAAUUGCCUUUAAGACUGCAUCGCUAGAAUUGUGGAGAGGUAAGUGGAAUUCCGAGUGUAGAGGUGAAAUUCGUAGAUAUUAGGAAGAACACCAGUGGCGAAGGCGGCUCACUGGUCCGGUACUGACACUGAGGUGCGAAAGCGUGGGGAGCAAACAGG